CCCUUAGAUGUUCUGGGCUGCACGCGUGCUACACUGAUAUUGCCAAUAUGUCAUUCUUAUCCGAAAUGGAUUGGGUAAUCAAGUAAUGAAAUUUCAUGCUUGGAAUCGGUAAUUGCAAUUUUAUCGUGAACGAGGAAUUCCUAGUAAGCACUAGUCAUCAGCUAAUGUUGAUUAUGUCCCUGCCCUUUGUACACACCGCCCGUCGCUACUACUGAUUGGGUGUUCAAGUGAGAUGCUUAGACCCUUGUUGCAUGGUUCAUUAUUGUGCUCCGGAAGGAAAAAGUUUCAAGCUUGAGUGUCUAGAGGAAGUAAAAGUCGUAACA
rnacentral:rRNA from 1 species